rnacentral:rRNA from 1 species
GGCCGUCGUCAGUUCGUACUGUGAAGCAUCCUGUUAAGUCAGGCAACGAGCGAGACCCACGUCCACAGUUGCCAGCAUACCCUCCGGGGUGAUGGGUACACUGUGGAGACCGCCGCUGCUAAAGCGGAGGAAGGAGUGGGCAACGGUAGGUCAGUAUGCCCCGAAUCUCCCGGGCUACACGCGGGCUACAAUGGUUGGUACAAUGGGCAUCUACCCCGAAAGGGGAAGGAAAUCUCUUAAAGCCAAUCGUAGUUCGGAUUGAGGGCUGCAACUCGCCCUCAUGAAGCUGGAAUCCGUAGUAAUCGCGUUUCAACAGAACGCGGUGAAUACGUCCCUGCUCCUU